rnacentral:sRNA from 1 species
GAGGCCUGGCUGUCUCUGCAAGGGCACUGUGGAGAAUGACAUUUCAAAAGAGCACAGCUUCAGCAGAAGAGUCCAUCAGACAAGGUUCACAUAAUACCAAGUCUUAUCUGUUCGGAAGACAAUGGAAGACCCUGGGGAAAUGCUUCCGGAGAAAGGAAAUGCUCAUACAUUUGUUCUCAGUUUGGGGACUGCCACUCACUGUUUGCUCUGUAACCUUAUGAGCAUUAAUUAUGUUUUCAGAACAUGCCAUAUAUCCCCCCUGCUACUUAUGAACAUUUUUGCCUACUAUUGUUAGAAGUUUACAAAUUCCAAUGUACAUGAACUAUAAAUACUCUGAAUAUAAAACUGACCAACUCUUAAGAACACAUAACAAUUUUAAAUUGCUUCUCAUGGGGAACUAUCUUCUUGCCCAUGAUUUUAGUUGGUUAAUCAGUAAACUCUGUGCAAACAGGUGCCACCCUGCUUUCCUAAAAUGAUGUAAUACAUUAGCCAUCCCAUGCAUGGCGUUUACCAAUGAAAAUGUUCCUCUAAACCCAUGUUAGGUCUGUUUACGUGAACACACCAGAAACAACAGCUGGAAUAGCCAAAGGCCAACACAUCCAUUUGGCCUGGAAACCUGCCCAUAUGUUCCACUACUGACCACAGAAGCCUCAUGCCAUCUGCCUUUCAAAGGGCAGCUCUGUCUGCUAUGUUCAGGACAGUGCCAAGCCUCCACAGUCACUUAGUGAAAGCAGGAUGUUUAUGCUGUAGGCUCUGACUGCUUCUGUCAUUGUCCUAUUCCUUUGUCAACAUAACCAAUCCUUGUCUUCUAGAAGCAUUACUUCCCCACAAAAGCCAUUUCCUCUUUCUACCUUUCCUAUCAGUUCUAAGUCAAAUUUCAUAAAUAAAACUAUU